rnacentral:rRNA from 1 species
UACGAAGGGGGCUAGCGUUGCUCGGAAUUACUGGGCGUAAAGCGCACGUAGGCGGUCUUUUAAGUCGGGGGUGAAAUCCUGGAGCUCAACUCCAGAACUGCCUUCGAUACUGGAAGACUCGAGUCCGGGAGAGGUGAGUGGAACUGCGAGUGUAGAGGUGAAAUUCGUAGAUAUUCGCAAGAACACCAGUGGCGAAGGCGGCUCACUGGCCCGGUACUGACGCUGAGGUGCGAAAGCGUGGGAGCAACAGGGAUAAGAUAUC